CGCAGGACGUCGCCGAGACGCUCCAGCGCCGCUGCCGCUGCCGUCCCGGGCCGGCCUGCCGCACCGUAGAGCAGCGCGCGGGCCCGCCGCAGCAGCGGCAGGACGCAGUCCUCCACCUCGCCGCUCAGCGCCAAGGAAAGGGGAGCCCGUAGACGCGGUGAAGGCCACGCUCUCUUCUCCGGCCGUUCGCCGAGCGCCGGCGUGAGGAGGCGUCUGCCUGCGCUGGGGACAGCGGAGCGCAGGCGGUGAGUGCUGAGGGAAAGGGAGGUGCGCUCUUCCCAGCCGACCUUUUGUGCUGCAAAGAAACGUCUCUGCCCGGCGCGGCCCUGAGCCCGUGUCCUCCCGCUGGCUCAGCUGCCUGGUGUUCAUCUGCUCACAGGAGCGCUUUCUUCAUGGGAUAUGCGCGAAACUCUUUUUUCUUUCUAACGCGCUGGACACGGCAUCACUGAGCCCCAGCUUGCUUUGAUAAUGUGCCGUGAACCUUCUCAGGACUUAAUACUUGACUACAAAGGCAAAAUAAUAUUUUACUUAAAAUUCAGCAACUGAGGAAUGUUUUAACAUGGUGAACCAAACUAAACCACCAUAAGAAGAAAUGAGGAAUUUUUAGUUCCUAGUUAGGGUGGAAAUCUUCGGAUUUGAGACAAAUCCUAAUUUACAGAAAAAGUUAAAAUCCUUAUUUUCUGUAUUCAGAUACUUGCUCUUCUUUGUUCCAUGCUCAGUCACUAGUGCUUUCCAAAAAGGAAAAAAAAGUUGAUCUGAAUCCUUCUGUUGCUGCUGGUGGUGGCUCUCCCCUGGCCCCCUAGCUGUCUCCUCGAAAUGAUCACUUCUCUCACACUUCUCACACUUCAGGUUUGUGCAUUGCUUAUCAUGCUGGCCUGUCUGUUGCCUGUCUUCUGACUGCCUUUCUCUUGGCAUCUUAAAUUCCUUCUGUGACAGUGUGAUUUUAGCACCUUCAUUCAGUAUUUUCUCCUUAACUGCUAAAUGUUAAUAUAUGCUACUGUAGGAGAAAGUAUUUGAGUGACAAGGAGAUUUUCUUGUUAGACCCUGUGUUCAUUAUUUGCAAUUUAGGAUGCUAGCAAGUGUUGUUAGUCUUGUGUCUGUGGGCUGCUCACUUUUUAUAACCAUUUACAUUGACAUUUAUUUGCAUUUAGUUAACUAAAUAGAUUUUGCAGUUUAAAUAUGAAUAAUAUUUUCAUGAGUUUCAUUUUGAAGAUUAUGAUUUUUUUCUGGAAUUUCAAACAACACCAAGGUCUGAACAAGUAAUCUCCAGCACAGCAGUGAGGCAUUGAGGCCAUGAUGAGCUUUAUCAGUUUCACUUCAGGUGAUUUUAGUUUUUGAGUAUUCAGGGAGGCUCAGUGUUCCUCUGUGAGCAUACAUUGGAAGACAAUUAUUUCUAGUCAGUUUUGGUGCAAUAGUUUGAAUUCUGAAACAGCAUCAAUGGCCUUGAAUCACAGAAUCAACUAGGUUGGAAAAGACCUUUGAGAUCAUCAAGUCAAAGCUGAGACCUAACAACACCUUGUCACCUGGACCACUUCCAGUCUUCUUAAACACCUCCAGGGCAGAAUAUGUAUUCCUGAUUCUUCUAUCAUUUUCUUAUUCAAGUGCCAUAGUGUCAAGUGUCAACUGCUGAUUGGCAGCCUGAAGGUCUGAGGCACAGAGACAGCUGGCUUGUAGUCAGCCUGUUUGGAACACUGCUGCAGGUAGAAAGAUUUCCUGACAGGAGUGUGGAAGGAAGUGAUAAUCCUUGAGGGCACCAAUUGUUGCAAAGCAAAACCAGACCACAAAGUCCCUACAAAGGACAAAACUAUUUUCUGUUAGCUGUAUAUAUCUGCUGCAUUUUCCAUUUGUUGUAUUGACUGUGCCAUUAUCCUACCAAAAUAAUCUAGGACACCACUAAUGACUUCAGUUUAACACAUCCCAAAUACCCAUUUGGCAGAGCCAUGCUCUCACAUCCUGGCUUUCCAAAAGGGGAGAAGGAAGAGAGGCAAACGAGCAACUCUAUUUUCAAAGGGCAUCUCAACCACGAGCCUAUGGAAUUGUGAGGGGGUAACAAAACUGCUGAACAUAUGUGGAAUUUGGCUUUAAGAAAUCACUUUAUAGCACGGUCCCUUGGUUAACAUUUACUGCAGGUAAGCAGCAGGCAAAAAAUUGCCCUCAGUUGAACUGUUUGACUUCUAUAGCUUAAGCUGGUUUGUAUUUAGAGAGGUGAUUCUAGACUUGCAUUAUUGUAGGUGUGCCUCACUGCAGAGAAAAUAAACACCAGUUCUACUGAAAAUAAAGUAAGUACCCUCAUGUCUUUGUGUGAGCAGAACCUGAAUUUUAGGUUUCAUCAAGACUAUACCAACCUCCCAUACUGUCAACAUUUCCAAGAAAAAUGUGUCAGCUCACAAGUCGACAGUGACAGUCUCACUAACUCCUGCACAUCUGAGCUGUCUCCUUUGUAUUAGCUAUGCAAAUUUAAGUCUCUGGAGAAUCAUGCUCUAAUUUGGGGUUUGGUUUGUAUUUGUUUGUAUCGGGCACUUUAUUCUUCCCUGCAAUUUUCACAACCACAGUGUUGUACAGAAGGAAAUUAAAAGCGCAUAUUCUUUUUUAUUUUUUAAAACUUUAUUAAAUUACGCAGUAAGAA